UCUGGGGCAGAGGCCGAAACCAAUGGCAGGGAAAGUCAUAAAAAUUCAAUGAAAAAUUGAAAAAUUAUUAAAAUUGUAAAUGUAACCAAAUUCCAAGUUAUAUUUGCCUAGAAAUUGCAAAUUGAAUAAACACAGAGCAGUGAACUAUCCAAAAGGAUACUUUUCUUAAUUAUUUUUGAAACAAAACCUUCCAUCGCAGUUAACCUCGAAAAAUUCUUCAAAAUUGUAAAUAGUAAAGAUUUUAAAGAUGUAAUUCCGAUUCUGUAUUUAAAAAUGCUGGUAUUUCUUUGUAUCUAUUUAUAUAUUGGAGCUGCGUGUGUAGUUUUUGCAGUCGAGGCCCACAACUGGGACAGGUAAUUUUAUCAAGGCAACUGAAAAAAUCAAUUAGAAUAUUGAAAUUGUGCGUGCGGCUUAUUUUUUCCAGGUCCAGUUGCAAGUUAAGCGCAUUAAAGAUAAUUGCAAUUUGUAUUAUGUAAAUGGCCAGAAUGGAAAGUAAAAGUGACUAUCGGACCACAGAAAACUGACGAAAAAAACAAUAACAAAUAAAUUAAGUCCAGAACCUUGCAUAAA